GAUGAAGAACGUAGCGAAAUGCGACAAGUAAUGUGAAUUGCAGAAUUCCGUGAAUCAUCGAAUCUUUGAACGCACAUUGCGCCCGCCAGUAUUCUGGCGGGCAUGCCUGUUCGAGCGUCAUUUCAACCCUCAAGACCCCUUCGGGGGACUUGGUGUUGGGGACCGGCACAGGGGCCUGCCUGCUUGUCUUGCAGCGCCCUCGCCGCCCCCGAAAUGAAUUGGCGGCCUCGUCGCGGCCUCCCCUGCGUAGUAGCACAACCUCGCAACGGGAACGUGACGGCGGCCACUGCCGUAAAACAACCCCAAUUUUAUUAGAGUUGACCUCGAAUCAGGUAGGAAUACCCGCUGAACUUAAGCAUAUCAAUAAGCGGAGGA
rnacentral:misc_RNA from 1 species